CGGCAAAGAGGACGAGGGGCCGGGGGUCUCCGCCCAGGAAGCCCAAGCUCAGGCCCUCCCGCAGCGGGACCCCUGGGAGCAACCUGAGAACCCCGACAUAAAGGUUGAAGUUGGAGACGUUGGGACCCAGGGGGCUGACGGAGAUGUGGGACCGCGUGGGCUUCCUAGGGAACCGGCCGUGUGUGGCGUGGAUGGUCCGUACGGGCCAAAGGGGAACCUGAUGUGGGGACCAUCCCUGA